rnacentral:rRNA from 1 species
CCUACGGGAGGCUGCAGUGGGGAAUAUUGGGCAAUGGGCGCAAGCCUGACCCAGCAACGCCGCGUGAAGGAAGAAGGCUCUCGGGUUGUAAACUUCUUUUGUCAGGGAAGAGUAGAAGACGGUACCUGACGAAUAAGCCACGGCUAACUACGUGCCAGCAGCCGCGGUAAUACGUAGGUGGCAAGCGUUGUCCGGAUUUACUGGGGGUAACGGGCGUGUAGCCGGGUUGACAAGUCAGAUGGGAAAUCCUGCGGCUUAACCGCAGAACUGCAUUUGAAACUGUUGAUCUUGAGUACUGGAGAGGCAGACGGAAUUCCUGGUGUAGCGGUGAAAUGCGUAGAUAUUAGGAGGAACACCAGUGGCGAAGGCGGUCUGCUGGACAGCAACUGACGGUGAGGCGCGAAAGCGUGGGGAGCAAACAGGAUUAGAUACCCCGGUAGUC